rnacentral:rRNA from 1 species
CGGCGGACGGGUGAGUAAUGCCUAGGAAUCUGCCUGGUAGUGGGGGAUAACGUCCGGAAACGGGCGCUAAUACCGCAUACGUCCUGAGGGAGAAAGUGGGGGAUCUUCGGACCUCACGCUAUCAGAUGAGCCUAGGUCGGAUUAGCUAGUUGGUGGGGUAAAGGCCUACCAAGGCGACGAUCCGUAACUGGUCUGAGAGGAUGAUCAGUCACACUGGAACUGAGACACGGUCCAGACUCCUACGGGAGGCAGCAGUGGGGAAUAUUGGACAAUGGGCGAAAGCCUGAUCCAGCCAUGCCGCGUGUGUGAAGAAGGUCUUCGGAUUGUAAAGCACUUUAAGUUGGGAGGAAGGGCAGUAAGUUAAUACCUUGCUGUUUUGACGUUACCAACAGAAUAAGCACCGGCUAACUUCGUGCCAGCAGCCGCGGUAAUACGAAGGGUGCAAGCGUUAAUCGGAAUUACUGGGCGUAAAGCGCGCGUAGGUGGUUCAGCAAGUUGGAUGUGAAAUCCCCGGGCUCAACCUGGGAACUGCAUCCAAAACUACUGAGCU